ensembl:lncRNA
GGUAUUUGAGGUAGAUAUGUACAUGAAGGCAGGGUAAAGUGACUAGGCAUCAGGAUAGAUAAUAAUAUGGUAUUUGAGGUAGAUAUGUACAUGAAGGCAGGGUAAAGUGACUAGACAUCAGGAUAGAUAAUAAUAAGGUAUUUGAGGUAGAUAUGUACAUGAAGGCAGAGUAAAGUGACUAGGCAUCAGGAUAGAUAAUAAUAAGGUAUUUGAGGUAGAUAUGUACAUGAAGGCAGGGUAAAGUGACUAGGCAUCAGGAUAGAUAAUAAUAAGGUAUUUGAGGUAGAUAUGUACAUGAAGGCAGGGUAAAGUGACUAGGCAUCAGGAUAGAUAAUAAUAAGGUAUUUGAGGUAGAUAUGUACAUGAAGGCAGGGUUAA